AUGGCGAACAAGAAAGAUAAGAGGUUCAGUGAUAGCACGGCCAUGGUGCGCAAGAGGUCGCCGCCGAGGCCAACAACACUGCACGAGGUCCCCGACAAGCUCCUCGAGCUCAUCCUCCUUCACUUGAGCUCGCCGCUCUGGCUCAUCCACGCCGCGGCCACAUGCAAGCGAUGGCGCCGCAUCAUCGUCGACAGAAGGUUCCUCUGCAACAUUUCCAACCGCGACCCCUCAUCCGUUGUCGCAGGCGACUACCAUAACCACGCAUCCCCCGUCGACGGCCGUCGCCACGUCUUUGUUCCCUCUUCGCCGGCGCUCGCUGUCGGUAGCCGCCACUUCUCUCUCGACUUCCUCCCUGCGGGUGGCGGCACCUCAUGGGAGAUCAUCGACAGCUGCCACAGCCUCCUCCUCCUCGCCAAGAAGAAGACCGGGUGGAGACGCCACUGCUUGCCGGACCUCCUCGUCUGCGAGCCGGUCACGCAGCGCUACAGGCUAAUCCCGCGCAUGGAGCACAUGAAAUACGAGCGCUGCCUCACUGUGUUCCUCCAUGGCUGCCACAGCAGAGGAGCCACCACGAGGAGAGGCCACACCAUUGAUGUCAUGUUGAAGUUCAAGGUGAUCUGCGUGCUCCACCGUGAAUACACCAGAAUAUCUGAUGACAUUGGCGUGAUGAGAGCCUUUGUGUUCGAGCGGAACUAUAGGGGGAAGCCUGGCUGGUACGUCAGGCACCGACCCAUGGACGAGCCUCUAAUCCGCCAAGAUGGCACCACGGAGCCCCUGCAUUUCCUUGGUCGGGCCACCAGAUCUCUAUUUUGGGCCCUGCAAGACGACUUCUCAUCCUUGCUAGCCUAUAAUUUCCAUUGGAAAAACGCGUUUGAAGUCCUCCCAUUGCCGGACCACAUCCAAGGGAUGCCUUCCCGAGUCUUCCGCAACGAUGACGGCGAGGCGUGCCUUGUUUGUUUGCAGGGCAGCAGCCUUCACGUCUUUGCUUAUAACGAUGGCGACUGGGACCUUGAGGAGAGCCUCGAAUUAAUGGAGGCCACUUGUGGGCUGGAAGGGUACAAGGAUGAGUAUUUCCGGGUGCCUAUGAAGAUUGUCACGGCCAGCACGAUGUCUAUCGUGCUUUCACCGGCAGAUCAGACAUGGCAAUUCUCAGUCGAUCUCGAGACAAUGGAGGUGACGAGAUACAAAAACAAGACUCAUGGUUCUCCAAGUGUGGCUUAUCCAUAGAAAGAUAGUGGUGCCCUAAACCACAGCAUGGCGCUGGUGCGAAAAGCGUCACCGGCCCGGCCGACGACGCUGCACGACAUCCCCGACAAGCUCCUCAAGAUCAUCCUCCUGUAUCUCCUCACCUCGCCCCACUGGCUUGUUCGCGCAGCGGCCACCUGCCAUUACCAUAACCACGCAUCCCCUGUCAAUGGCCGCCGCCUCAUCUUUGUUCCUUCCUCCCCAGUGCUUGCUGUCAAUAGCCACCACUUCUCCCUUGACUUCCUCCCUGGAGGUGGCAGCAGGUCAUGGGAGAUCGUAGAUAGCCACCACACGCUCCUCCUCCUCGUCAAGAAGAAGACUGGGAGGAGUCACCGCUGCUUCCCCGACCUCCUAGUCUGCGAGCCCAUCACACGGCGCUGCCAACUAAUCCCACGUGUGGAGAAAAUGAAAUACCACCCAUGUAUUGGUGUAUUCCUUGAUAUGCAUGGUCGCAGAGGAGCUAUCACGUGGGAUGGACGCGCCAUCGAUACAAUGUCAAGUUUCAGAGUGGUUUGCGUGCUCUACCAUGAAUUCACAGGGGUAUCUGGUAACAUUGGGACAGCCAAGGCCGUCGUGUUCGAAGAGGGCUGGAGGAGAAAGCGUGGCUGGUCCGUCAGGCAGCAGCACAAACCUCAAAUCCACCUCCAUGGCGUGGAAUCUCUGCAUUUCAUUGGCCGUGCAGCAUUCUCUCUUUUCUGGGCCAUGGAAGAUGACUCUUCCUCCUUGCUGGCUUAUAAUUUUCGGUGGUCAAACGAGUUUGUGAUCGUCCCACUUCCGGACCACGUCCGAGGAUCGGCUUGGCGAGCCAUUGAUAUCAACAACAGCAGCUCGGUGCAUGUUGUUUGCUUGCAGGGCGACAACCUUCGCAUCUUUGCGGCAAGGACAUACGAUAGCACCGACUGGGAGCUUCAGAAAAGCCUCCAAUUAAUGGAGGCUACUCGUGGACUGGCAGGGCACAAGGAUGAGUACUUCUGUGGGUCUACCAAGAUCGUCUCAACUAGCAUGAGCUUUAUUGUGUUUUCUCUGGCAGAGGAGACAUGGCUAUUCUCCAUUGACUUUGAGACCAUGGAGGUGGCGAAAUGCACAUACAAGGCGCAUUCUUCUGCAUGUGUGGCUUAUCCGUGUGAGCUUCCAUGGCUACCUGCCCUUCGUGCUUGUAUUGUGCGCUGUUCAAGAAGCGGGCGUGGCCGAUGUUCAGAUAUUUGUAUAUGUUGA
rnacentral:rRNA from 1 species